rnacentral:rRNA from 1 species
CCUACGGGGGGCUGCAGUGAGGAAUAUUGGUCAAUGGGCGGGAGCCUGAACCAGCCAAGCCGCGUGAGGGAAGAAGGUACAGCGUAUCGUAAACCUCUUUUGUCAGGGAACAAAGGCGGGGACUAGUCCCCGGAUGAGGGUACCUGAAGAAAAAGCAUCGGCUAACUCCGUGCCAGCAGCCGCGGUAAUACGGAGGAUGCGAGCGUUAUCCGGAUUUAUUGGGUUUAAAGGGUGCGCAGGCGGUCUGUUAAGUCAGCGGUCAAAGCCCGGGGCUCAACCCCGGCCCGCCGUUGAAACUGGCAGUCUCGAGUUGGAGAGAAGUAUGCGGAAUGCGCGGUGUAGCGGUGAAAUGCAUAGAUAUCGCGCAGAACUCCGAUUGCGAAGGCAGCAUGCCGGCUCCACACUGACGCUGAGGCACGAAAGCGUGGGUAUCGAACAGGAUUAGAUACCCUUGUAGUC